GGUCAUGUGAUGAGAUAAUACUGCAACAAAAUGAUCGAUUCAAUUUUGUGAUUUCUUGUAUUUAAGUCUCUGAUGAUC
rnacentral:snoRNA from 1 species